AAUAGAGGAUGACUGGUUACAUUUGAGUUUUAUAUAAACAACAGAUUUUGUUUUCAGUAUAAGUAGGUCCCAUUCAAUAUUUGGGACAUACUUAUACUAAAAGUUAUUCGUUAUUUAUCUGAAUUUAGAUUUAACAGGGAAAUCCUGCAUUUU
rnacentral:miRNA from 1 species